AAUGCAAAAAGCAGUCGAACGGGAAAAAAGCUGUUUGACUUGGAAACAUAUAAGAGGAACUGACAGGAAACACAGGGAAAAAUACACCGGGGAAAACAAGCGACAACUGGACACCUGGACGUGGUGGAGACAAUAAAGAGGACAUGUGAAACUGAUCAGGGUGUGACAAGCUAGCUGCUAAUAUAAGCAUAGACAUGCUGCCCAGCCUCUUUAAGGAGGGUUUACGUGAUCUCUUUGCCAGGCCAGAGAACCAUUUGGAGACUUACUCAUGGUGAAAAUUAGGGUGAAGAAUCAGACCUGUGUAGACCAGAACCAUACAGCUUGUCAGCCCACAGUAUGUCUUAUACACAAACACAGAGUUGGAGCAAUCAAGAAUCACCCUUUCCAAAUAUGCUUUCCAAAGAUCUUCGUUGUUGAUUAAUCAGGAAUACAGUAACAAGCAUGAUUUCCUUUAAGAGAGCAGCAGGGGAUGACUUCCAGUAUCCAUACAGCCGUGAACUCACUGUAAUGGAAAAGUGUCUCAUAGAAUACUACCCAAUGCAGCGGGACAGAUCUGCAACCAGUGGA